AAGAGCAAGAGACCCCGGCAGUUUCGGAGAUGCCAGUGCCACCAGGAGCAGCGGCAAUGGUGGAGGGCAGCCUGCCGAGGCCUGGAAGACAGCUGUGUGUGCUACACAGGGCAGAGCCAGAGAAGUGACCCAAGCCCUUUGCAGGAGCCCAGGAGAUCGUGAGUGGGUCUCAGAUAUGGAACGCUGAGUUGCUUAUACGGUUCUACCUGGAUGUCGGUGAACCGUAGAGUAGAAGGUUCCUGAGGAAUCCAGAAGAAGGGUGUUGGAUCCUCCGGAACCAGAAUCCAGACAGUUGUCAGCUGCAAUGUGGGUUCGAGGAACCAAACCUCAGAUUCUCUGCCAAAGCAACAAGAGUUCCUCACCUAUGGAGGAGCCGCUCCCCGCCCCCACCCAACCUGGCUGGGGAUCGGGAGGUCUAACUGUAAAAGGCAUCAGGAGCACCAUUGGUGCUCCAGAGAGUGAGGCUCCGCCCAUCUCGGCCCCCUGCCUGAAUGGCCCCUGCUGUCUUUGCCUGGGAGUCCCCCACUCAGUCACUGACUCACACUCUGAUCCUUCCAGAAAGACCUUCAUGGACACACCUGGGACAUUCUGACCAAACUAGGUCACUCCUCCUCUUUCCCUUUCAGCAGAACAUGGGUGGCUCAGUGUCUCUCAAGUCAUCAAAAAUAGUUAAUUUUUUUGUCAGCUGCCUGGUGGUCAUUUAAUCCCAUUAAGGUGACAGGAAAUCAGUCACAGUAAAUCUAUGCCUUGCUACCUGAGCACCCAUGCACAUCUCCCAAUAAAUACAACAAGAUUCUAGUUCUCCCUAGAAGAUGAUGA